GGAAUUGCCUGGAUCUUAAUUGACAUGGACCUUGACAUGUCCUAGUUGGUCUCCCAGAAGAUGAGUUCACCUUGCUCUCCAACAAGACCAAGAUCUUUGAGCCUUCUUUCUUGGUAAUAUUCCAACAAAUCCAA